rnacentral:rRNA from 1 species
UACGGAGGGUGCAAGCGUUAAUCGGAAUUACUGGGCGUAAAGCGCACGCAGGUGGCUGAGUCAGUCGAUUGUGAAAGCCCUGGGCUUAACCUGGGAAUUGCAGUCGAUACUACUUAGCUAGAGUAUGGGAGAGGGCAGUGGAAUUCCCGGUGUAGCGGUGAAAUGCGUAGAUAUCGAGAGGAACACCUGCGGCGAAGGCGGGUUGCUGGGCUGACACUGACGCUGAGGCGCGAAAGCUAGGGGAGCGAACGGG